rnacentral:rRNA from 1 species
CAGUAGCCGCGGUAAUACAGAGGGUGCGAGCGUUAAUCGGAUUUACUGGGCGUAAAGCGUGCGUAGGCGGCUUCUUAAGUCGGAUGUGAAAUCCCUGAGCUUAACUUAGGAAUUGCAUUCGAUACUGGGAAGCUAGAGUAUGGGAGAGGAUGGUAGAAUUCCAGGUGUAGCGGUGAAAUGCGUAGAGAUCUGGAGGAAUACCGAUGGCGAAGGCAGCCAUCUGGCCUAAUACUGACGCUGAGGUACGAAAGCAUGGGGAGCAAACAGGAUUAGAUACUCCGGUAGUCCCUGUCUCUUAUAC